rnacentral:piRNA from 1 species
AACCCUUGAUGAUGUAGCUCAGCGGUAGAGC